rnacentral:rRNA from 1 species
UACGUAGGGGGCUAGCGUUGUCCGGAAUCAUUGGGCGUAAAGAGCGUGUAGGCGGUCCGGUAAGUCCGCUGUGAAAGUCGGGGGCUCAACCCUCGAAUGCCGGUGGAUACUGUCGGGCUAGAGUACGGAAGAGGCGAGUGGAAUUCCCGGUGUAGCGGUGAAAUGCGCAGAUAUCGGGAGGAACACCAAUGGCGAAGGCAGCUUGCUGGGACGGUACUGACGCUGAGACGCGAAAGCGUGGGGAGCGAACAGG